rnacentral:rRNA from 1 species
UGGGGAAUUUUGCACAAUGGACGAAAGUCUGAUGCAGCAAUGCCGCGUGGAGGAUGAAGGUCUUCGGAUUGUAAACUUCUGUUAAUUAGGAAGAAACGUCAAGGGUUAAUACCCCUUGUAAUGACGUUACUGAUUUAGAAAGCUCCGGCUAACUUCGUGCCAGCAGCCGCGGUAAUACGAAGGGAGCGAGCGUUAUUCGGAAUUAUUGGGCGUAAAGGGCGCGUAGGCGGCGCAAUAAGUUUUUUGUUUAAUCUCCCGGCCUAACUGGGAGCUCGCAAAAAAUACUGUUGUGCUAGAGUUUAAUAGAGGAAAGUGGAAUUCUCGGAGUAGCGGUUAAAUGCGUAGAUCUCGAGAGGAACGCCAAUGGCGAAAGCAGCUUUCUGGAUUAUAACUGACGCUG